rnacentral:misc_RNA from 1 species
UGUGAGAGCUGGCUUGCCUGCGAAAGCGGUGGUUCAGUCAUUGUCUUGGGUGGCUGGUCUCCGGCUAUCGCAGGCAAGCCAGCUCCCACA